rnacentral:sRNA from 12 species
GCGGGCUUGGAAUUAUGAUGCUGUGGGCCCGCAUCAGCGCGUCUAAGCUUGCGAUCACGGGGAUCUCCGCACGCAAGCCGGUAUAGCCGCGUCUGCCUAAAGUAGGCCGCAUGGGGAAGCUCACAUCGCCCCAGGUGCUCCGAAUUUUAUACGGCAUGACGCGCCACGCGCCGUGGAGGGGUGGCUGUUGGUUGGACAGCUAGAAAGCGUGGACGCCG